rnacentral:misc_RNA from 1 species
CAGAAACCAUUUAUAUAAUUAACCCAAAACAGACCUAAACCGAAAAUAAUGGUCUACAUUAAUUAUUGGACCAAAAGAUAGAGAAUCUGUAUGUACAUAUGAGGGAGAUGGGCUUUAAUAAAGUCCAUUAAUCCUUAUAAUACACAUUAUAGACGGCUUCAUCAUCUGCUUCACAACACCUAUAUAUAUUUGCCACAAUACAUAAACCUUGAAUGGUAGUAAAAGCAGCCUGUUGCCUAGUGGUACAAAGGCUGUUUUUGUCUUGAUCUAUAAGCAUACACACUUACAUGAUCAAACUUCCAUAUGCUGGUGCAAGUAGGCAGUAGCUAGCUUCCCAUAAUUGAUGAGAAGCAGACAGGAAGCAAGAAGAGAAGAAUCUUAAAUAUAACUAGGGUUGAUGGGUUUGGUUGAUUUUGUUGAUGCUCAAUGAUCACUUCAAUCCUUCAGAUUCAAUCUGGGAAGGGUAACCCCAAUCUAAGGAAAGUGUAGGAGCCUUCAAAAUCUUGAGCAGGAUCCGCUGAGCUGCUGGUGUUGGUCAUCACAGAAUCCGAUGGUUGUCCUGCUUCAAACAAUUGCAUUCUGGCUACUGGUAUAUCCAUCAUCUACCAUAUGGAAACAAACUCAGAAAUGAGAAUAAGAUUCAACUGAGGGACUCAAAAAAAGUUCACAUACUUGCUUCUUUAGUCGCUCAUUUUCUUCCAUCAAUUGAGCUCCCUGGAAACGAAUGAGAAAGAAAAUGAUCAGGUGUGAAAAAUAGAGCAAGAGAGAAAUAUUCAUUGGUUUUACUUUUCUCGUAAGAAUCAUACUGAUAGAUGAUGGACCAUAUUAUUCUGUUCAUGUUGAUCUAGCUAGGGUUUUGCCAACAAAUGAAGCCAAAAUCUGUUCUUUCAGCUUAAAAAGUUAGCUUAUUAAUAUAUUUCUCUCUCUCCCUUUCUAGCUUAUUAAUAUACUGCUACAUUUUGGAUUUGUCUUCAACAAAUGAAACCAAGUAGGUUUUGAAUCAUCAUCAUUACCCUUAAUAACACUAACAUAUUAGAACAGUUCCAAAUCUAAAGUCUCUUUCACAUGAAAAAAUAAAUGAUGAAUGGCAUACAACAGUUUAAAGAUAAGACUGUGACCUUGCUUUUGAGGGCAUUGAUUUCUUUUGCAAAUACAUCACCCUUUGUUUCCACGACUCGUUUCAAGCCUCUUUCAAGUAACCUUUCUAAUUGUUGAAGCUCUUCUAUGCUCAAUCCUUGGAGCUCUUCCCCCCUCAUCUGCCUCAAUUCAAGGGUCCUCUCUUCUACUUCCUUGCUCAAUGCGGCAAAAGUACCAUCUUCAAGCUGCUGGUCUAGAGAAGGUUGAUCCAACUUAUUGCCAACGUUCUUUGGAUGCAGUUUGUGCCUUUCAAUCACCUGAUUCACACUUGAGCUUGCAUACUCAAAAAGCUUCCCAGUUGCAGAAAAGACUAUGAGAGCAAUCUCAGCAUCACAAAGAGUAGAGAGCUCAUAAGCUUUCUUGAAGAGCCCUCUUCUUCUCUUUGAGAAAGUUACUUGCCUUGCUGUGUUGUUGUCGAUCUUCUUGAUCUGGAUUUUCUGCCUUGUCAUUUUCCACACAAGAGAAAACUUCCAACUGACGAUUACCUUGCAAAGGAAACCCAGGUGAUGAAGGAAAGAAGAGUUGAUGAAAGAACCUGCUACCAAUCCAAGCUCAUCUAGAAAGAAUAGGAGGCACAAGGAUUGGGCAGAUAUGUCAAGUCUCAGCUAUUGCUUUGCUUUGCUUUUGCUGUUGUCGUUUAUGGUGCUACUGACACUUGAGAUUAAGUCCACCAAUGGUAUAAAGGGAGGAGAGAGAGAGA